rnacentral:lncRNA from 1 species
AGCGCACCCCCCGCAUCCAGCCCCCAGGAGGCGCCUUCCCAACCCGAACCCAGGCUUCAAGACACUCACCCGGUCAUGACGCUCAGGAUCUUGCUUUCUUGUUUUCUCCCACCUUGGAACAGUCUCCUAAGACUACACCGAAUUGUUGCCACGGAAGCAGUGGUGAUGCCUGGCUUCAUUCAUCUCAGCCCCGUGAGUCCAGGGAAAGCCCUGUGUCAGCCGUCCUGACCAAACAUGCUCGUUGCUCAACAAACACCGACCGAAAGGACCCGCUGAUGAAAGGCAGGAACAGGGCGUGCAUUUGCAGAAGCGCAGGAAAGGGAAGUUCUUGCCGAAAAUCCCACGGCCCAUGUCAGAGGCAGAGGGAGACCCGGACAGCUCGGGGCAGCCCUGGGCCCUGCCGCUGCCUCCGGCCCCCGGGUCUGGGACACGGCGCUCUCUGCAUGUGCAUUUGGCAGGAGGGAGAGCGGAGUCCGGCUGAGGAGGAACCCCCGCUGAGCAACUCGGAGCCUGUGCCUCGUCACACGCUCUGCGUCUCUCUGUCCCACUGCCUCUGAGGACUGGGUGAGUCACCUCAACGGCUGGGGACCAUGGGAGGUGGCAGCACGACCCUGAGCCUCAUGGCCCUUCUCUGCCUCGGGCUGUGCUGGCGCCCAUGGGACCAGGUCCAGGCAGGGGUUCUCCCCAAACCCUCCAUCUGGGCUGACCCGGGACCCACUGACCCCAAGGGGAGCCCUGUGAACCUCUGGUGUCAGGGGUCCCCACAGGCUGAGGUCUACCGUCUGUAUAAAGUGGGGGACUCUGAACACUGGGAGGAUGAAGCCCCACAGGACCUCAGGAACACAGCCCGGUUCCACUUUGAAUCCUUGAGCUCCCGCCAUGCAGGGCGGUACCAGUAUGCUUAUCAGAGC